rnacentral:rRNA from 1 species
UUUUGGGCGUAAGCGCGCGUAGCGUGUUUUUUUAAGAUCUGAUGUGAAAGCCCACGGCUCAACCGGUGGGAGGGUCAUUGGAAACUGGAAAACUUGAGUGCAGAAGAGGAAAGUGGAAUUCCAUGUGUAGCGGUGAAAUGCGCAGAGAUAUGGAGGAACACCAGUGGCGAAGGCGACUUUCUGGUCUGUAACUGACUCUGAUGUGCGAAAGCGUGGGGAUCAAACAGGAUUAUAUACCCUGGUAGUCCACCCCGUAAACGAUGAGUGCUAAGUGUUAGGGGGUUUCCCCCCCUUAGUGCUGCAGCUAACGCAUUAAGCACUCCGCCUGGGGAGUACGACCGCAGGGUUGAAACUCAAAUGAAUUGACGGAAUCACUAGUGAAGCUC